rnacentral:rRNA from 1 species
UUAAGCGACUAAGCGUACACGGUGGAUGCCCUGGCAGUCAGAGGCGAUGAAGGACGUGCUAAUCUGCGAAAAGCGUCGGUAAGGUGAUAUGAACCGUUAUAGCCGGCGAUGUCCGAAUGGGGAAACCCAGUGUGAUUCGUCACACUAUCGUUAACUGAAUACAUAGGUUAACGAGGCGAACCGGGGGAACUGAAACAUCUAAGUACCCCGAGGAAAAGAAAUCAACCGAGAUUCCCCCAGUAGCGGCGAGCGAACGGGGAGCAGCCCAGAGUCUGAAUCAGCUUGUGUGUUAGUGGAACGGUCUGGAAAGUCCGACGGUACAGGGUGAUAGUCCCGUACACCAAAAUGCACAGGUUGUGAACUCGAAGAGUAGGGCGGGACACGUGGUAUCCUGUCUGAAUAUGGGGGGACCAUCCUCCAAGGCUAAAUACUCCUGACUGACCGAUAGUGAACCAGUACCGUGAGGGAAAGGCGAAAAGAACCCCGGCGAGGGGAGUGAAAAAGAACCUGAAACCGUGUACGUACAAGCAGUGGGAGCACCUUCGGGUGUGACUGCGUACCUUUUGUAUAAUGGGUCAGCGACUUAUAUUCUGUAGCAAGGUUAACCGUAUAGGGGAGCCGCAGGGAAACCGAGUCUUAACUGGGCGUUAAGUUGCAGGGUAUAGACCCGAAACCCGGUGAUCUAGCCAUGGGCAGGUUGAAGGUUGGGUAACACUAACUGGAGGACCGAACCGACUAAUGUUGAAAAAUUAGCGGAUGACUUGUGGCUGGGGGUGAAAGGCCAAUCAAACCGGGAGAUAGCUGGUUCUCCCCGAAAGCUAUUUAGGUAGCGCCUCGUGAAUUCAUCUUCGGGGGUAGAGCACUGUUUCGGCUAGGGGGUCAUCCCGACUUACCAACCCGAUGCAAACUACGAAUACCGAAGAAUGUUAUCACGGGAGACACACGGCGGGUGCUAACGUCCGUCGUGAAGAGGGAAACAACCCAGACCGCCAGCUAAGGUCCCAAAGUCAUGGUUAAGUGGGAAACGAUGUGGGAAGGCACAGACAGCCAGGAUGUUGGCUUAGAAGCAGCCAUCAUUUAAAGAAAGCGUAAUAGCUCACUGGUCGAGUCGGCCUGCGCGGAAGAUGUAACGGGGCUAAACCAUGCACCGAAGCUGCGGCAGCGACACUAUGUGUUGUUGGGUAGGGGAGCGUUCUGUAAGCCUGCGAAGGUGACCUGUGAGGGUUGCUGGAGGUAUCAGAAGUGCGAAUGCUGACAUAAGUAACGAUAAAGCGGGUGAAAAGCCCGCUCGCCGGAAGACCAAGGGUUCCUGUCCAACGUUAAUCGGGGCAGGGUGAGUCGACCCCUAAGGCGAGGCCGAAAGGCGUAGUCGAUGGGAAACAGGUUAAUAUUCCUGUACUUGGUGUUACUGCGAAGGGGGGACGGAGAAGGCUAUGUUAGCCGGGCGACGGUUGUCCCGGUUUAAGCAUGUAGGCUGGUUGUCCAGGCAAAUCCGGAUAAUCAAGGCUGAGGUGUGAUGACGAGGCACUACGGUGCUGAAGUAACAAAUGCCCUGCUUCCAGGAAAAGCCUCUAAGCAUCAGGUAACAUCAAAUCGUACCCCAAACCGACACAGGUGGUCAGGUAGAGAAUACCAAGGCGCUUGAGAGAACUCGGGUGAAGGAACUAGGCAAAAUGGUGCCGUAACUUCGGGAGAAGGCACGCUGGUGUGUAGGUGAAGCCCCUGCGGGUGGAGCUGAGACCAGUCGAAGAUACCAGCUGGCUGCAACUGUUUAUUAAAAACACAGCACUGUGCAAACACGAAAGUGGACGUAUACGGUGUGACGCCUGCCCGGUGCCGGAAGGUUAAUUGAUGGGGUUAUCCGUAAGGAGAAGCUCUUGAUCGAAGCCCCGGUAAACGGCGGCCGUAACUAUAACGGUCCUAAGGUAGCGAAAUUCCUUGUCGGGUAAGUUCCGACCUGCACGAAUGGCGUAAUGAUGGCCAGGCUGUCUCCACCCGAGACUCAGUGAAAUUGAACUCGCUGUGAAGAUGCAGUGUACCCGCGGCAAGACGGAAAGACCCCGUGAACCUUUACUAUAGCUUGACACUGAACAUUGAGCCUUGAUGUGUAGGAUAGGUGGGAGGCUUUGAAGCGUGGACGCCAGUCUGCGUGGAGCCAACCUUGAAAUACCACCCUUUAAUGUUUGAUGUUCUAACGUUGGCCCCUGACCGGGGUUGCGGACAGUGUCUGGUGGGUAGUUUGACUGGGGCGGUCUCCUCCCAAAGCGUAACGGAGGAGCACGAAGGUUAGCUAAUCCUGGUCGGACAUCAGGAGGUUAGUGCAAUGGCAUAAGCUAGCUUGACUGCGAGCGUGACGGCGCGAGCAGGUGCGAAAGCAGGUCAUAGUGAUCCGGUGGUUCUGAAUGGAAGGGCCAUCGCUCAACGGAUAAAAGGUACUCCGGGGAUAACAGGCUGAUACCGCCCAAGAGUUCAUAUCGACGGCGGUGUUUGGCACCUCGAUGUCGGCUCAUCACAUCCUGGGGCUGAAGUAGGUCCCAAGGGUAUGGCUGUUCGCCAUUUAAAGUGGUACGCGAGCUGGGUUUAGAACGUCGUGAGACAGUUCGGUCCCUAUCUGCCGUGGGCGCUGGAGAAUUGAGGGGGGCUGCUCCUAGUACGAGAGGACCGGAGUGGACGCAUCACUGGUGUUCGGGUUGUCAUGCCAAUGGCACUGCCCGGUAGCUAAAUGCGGAAGAGAUAAGUGCUGAAAGCAUCUAAGCACGAAACUUGCCCCGAGAUGAGUUCUCCCUGAGACUUUAAGUCUCCUGAAGGAACGUUGAAGACGACGACGUUGAUAGGCCGGGUGUGUAAGCGCAGCGAUGCGUUGAGCUAACCGGUACUAAUGAACCGUGAGGCUUAACCU